rnacentral:lncRNA from 1 species
ACUAAUUAGACCUGAUAUUAUAUUACUGUAGUAACCUAGUAUCGUCAGACACCAGAACCUUACUAAUGACCUGAAUAUACCGUAGUAACCUAGUAUCAGUCAGACACCAGAUAUUAAUUAACAUUGUUGUUGUUGAGUGAUGCCAGGCCAGGUAGAUUGCAAACAGGGAUCACUGGUUUCCAUCGAAACAGAGAAAACGAAGUCUCUGAUUUUUCUCCCAUUGAAUACAGUCAACAGUCUCUGUAUUUUUCUCCCAUUGAAUACAGUCAACAGUCUCUGAUUUUUCUCCUAUUGAAUACAGUCAACAGUCUCUGAUUUUUCUCCCAUUGAAUACAGUCAACAGUCUGUAUUUUUCUCCCAUUGAAUACAGUCAACAGUCUCUGUAUUUUUCUCCCAUUGAAUACAGUCAACAGUCUCUGUAUUUUUCUCCCAUUGAAUACAGUCAAUAGUCUCUCUGUACUUUUCUCCCAUUGAAUACAGUCAACAUAGUCUCUGUAUUUUUCUCCCAUUGCCCUCUCUGAUGCUCAAACAGCAAGAUGUACCAUUUGUGGGGACUAUCCAUGUCCUGAGGACGUCAGGAAAUGCCUUCAAAACCAGCCACUAGGGGCAAAGUCAGCGCUAUUAGCAUCAAGUAGGGUAAUCCCUUGACUCUGGAUCAGAAGGUUGGGUGUUUGAUCCCAGUUGUGGACACUGGUUUUUAUUUCUGGUUUCAACCCUAUCUCAAACCCUUAACCAUUUGGAAUGAGUGCCUAAACUUAACCUUUAACUUUGAAAGUUGACGUUUGGAGAAAUGGAACGAUACAGAGCAGCAGGAGAACGUGGCUGAACAUCUAAUUUUGCCGAGACUGAGAUCUUGUUGGAUGGUGUUGACUUGUGUGAAAUAGAUUUGAAUUUUUUUUCUCACAAUUAAGUAUGAAUCCACUCAACCCUUGUUAUGUAAAGUGAGGUGAGUGAGUCAAUUAAGUAUGAAUCAAGUCAAUGAAUCAUAACCUUUAUAUAAAGUGA